GACGAACGCUGACGGCGUGCUUAACACAUGCAAGUCGAGCGGUAAGGCCCUUUCGGGGGUACACGAGCGGCGAACGGGUGAGUAACACGUGGGUGACCUGCCCUCAGCUCUGGGAUAAGCCUGGGAAACCGGGUCUAAUACCGGAUAUGACUCCAUGACGCAUGUUGUGGGGUGGAAAGCCUUGUGCGGCUGAGGAUGGGCCCGCGGCCUAUCAGCUUGUUGGUGGGGUGAUGGCCUACCAAGGCGACGACGGGUAGCCGGCCUGAGAGGGCGACCGGCCACACUGGGACUGAGACACGGCCCAGACUCCUACGGGAGGCAGCAGUGGGGAAUCUUGCGCAAUGGGCGAAAGCCUGACGCAGCGACGCCGCGUGAGGGAUGACGGCCUCGG
rnacentral:rRNA from 1 species